rnacentral:tRNA from 1 species
CAGAUCGUAGCUAAAAGCAGGAUAGCAUUUCCCUUACACCGAAAAGGUGCUCGUGCAAACCGAGCCGCUCUGA